rnacentral:rRNA from 1 species
CAGCCGCCACGGUAAUACGAGGGGGGCAGGCGUUGUUCGGAAUUAUUGGGCGUAAAGGGUGCGUAGGCGGCUUGACAAGUCUUGUGUGAAAUCUAUGGGCUCAACCCAUAGUCUGCACGGGAAACUGUCGGGCUUGAGAAUGGGAGAGGUGAGUGGAAUUUCCGGUGUAGCGGUGAAAUGCGUAGAUAUCGGAAGGAACACCUGUGGCGAAAGCGGCUCACUGGACCAUUUCUGACGCUGAUGCACGAAAGCUAGGGGAGCAAACAGGAUUAGAUACCCGCGUAGUCCCUGUCUCUUAUAC